GCGUGCCUAAUACAUGCAAGUAGAACGCUGAAGAGAGGAAGCUUGGCUCUUCUUGGAAUGAGUUGCGAACGGGUGAGUAACGCGUAGGUAACCUGCCUUGUAGCGGGGGAUAACUAUUGGAAACGAUAGCUAAUACCGCAUAACAAUGGAUGACCACAUGUCAUUUAUUUGAAUAGGGGCAAUUGCUCCACUACAAAGAUGGACCUGCGUUGUAUUAGCUAGUAGGUGAGGUAACGGCUCACCUAGGCGGCGAUACAUAGCCGACCUGAGAGGGUGAUCGGCCACACUGGGACUGAGACACGGCCCAGACUCCUACGGGAGGCAGUAGUAGGGAAUCUUCGGCAAUGGGGGCAACCCUGACCGAGCAACGCCGCGUGAGUGAAGAAGGUUUUCGGAUCGUAAAGCUCUGUUGUAAGGCAAGAACGAGUGUGAGAGUGGAGAGUUCACACUGUGACGGUAGCUUACCAGAAAGGGACGGCUAACUACGUGCCAGCAGCCGCGGUAAUACGUAGGUCCCGAGCGUUGUCCGGAUUUAUUGGGCGUAAAGCGAGCGCAGGCGGUUUGAUAAGUCUGAAGUUAAAGGCUGUGGCUCAACCAUAGUUCGCUUUGGAAACUGUCAAACUUGAGUGCAGAAGGGGAGAGUGGAAUUCCAUGUGUAGCGGUGAAAUGGUCGUACGAUAUAUGGAAGGAACACCGGUGGCGAAAGCGGCUCUCUGGUCCUGUAAACUGACGCUGAGGCUUCGAAAGCGUGGGGAGCCGAACAGGAUUUAAGAUACCCCUGGUAGUCCCACGCCCGUAAACGAUGAGUAGCUAAGGUUGUUGGGUCCUUUUCCGGGGAUUCCAGUGGCCCCGCAGCUAACGCAUUAAGCAACUCCGGCCCUGGGGAGAUACCGAACCGCAAGGUUGCUAACUUCAA
rnacentral:rRNA from 1 species